rnacentral:rRNA from 1 species
ACUGAACCUUAUCAUUUAGAGGAAGGAGAAGUCGUAACAAGGUUUCCGUAGGUGAACCUGCGGAAGGAUCAUUGUAGAAACCUGCACAGCAGAACGACUUGUGAACAUGUGAAAUUAGUCGGGRUAGCUCGGGGUCGACUUCGACCUUUAGCAUCCCUGGUCCRGGGGUUGCAAUCGGUGCAUUGGUCAUCGGCUGCGUGCUUUUCGGCCAAACAAACGAACUCCAGCGCAAAACGCGCCAAGGAACUUAUAACGAAUUCGCAYUCGCCUGUCAUACCAAAGAUGGUAUGCGUUGGGCUUUGCAUCGUGAWAAUYYGUCAAAAUGACUCUCGACAACGGAUAUCUCGGCUCUCGCAUCGAUGAAGAACGUAGCGAAAUGCGAUACUUGGUGUGAAUUGCAGAAUCCCGUGAACCAUCGAGUCUUUGAACGCAAGUUGCGCCUGAAGCCMUUAGGCCGAGGGCACGUCUGCUUGGGUGUCACACAAUGUUGCCCCUCCACACCUUGAAGGUGAARGGGUCGAAAGAUGGCCUCCCGUGUGGUAGCGGUUGGCUUAAGUACGAGUCCUCGAUGGUUUGUGUUGCAAAAAUCGGUGGCGAUCUAAAUCCCCAGCGUGCUAUUUUGCUGCACGAAUUGCCGACGUGGCUUGCUAAACCCCUAUGCCGCGCAUGCGGCCUUUCCAACGCAACCYCAGGUCAGRCGGGGCUACCCGCUGAGUUUAAGC